rnacentral:rRNA from 1 species
GCCGGCAGCAGCUCUCGGCAACUCUCACAUGGUCGCCCACUGAAGCUAAGCAGGGCUGCGCCUGGUCAGUACCUGGAUGGGAGACCACAUGGGAAAGUGAGGUUGCUGUCGGAU